CUCCUGAUGAGGUGAGAGAGCUGUCAUUUUAAUCCUUCUUGCUGAGUUUCCUCUGUCUCAAACAUUGCUCUGUUCCAGUUUGCCUCAGAUAAAAGCUGACUUUUGAGGUUUAGCUCCCUUUUGUUCACCUCAGUGCCUCUUCCUUCCACAGCUCCUCUCUUUGGUGUCUCCACACGAGACUUUGCUUUUCUUCUCUGAAAAGGUCGAAAGGAAACUUCAAGGCAACAUUCUCCAUUCCAUCU
rnacentral:lncRNA from 1 species